GCGCCCGUAGCUCAGCCGGAUAGAGCGUCAGACUCCGACUCUGAAGGCCGCACGUUCGAAUCGUGUCGGGCGUACCA
rnacentral:tRNA from 1 species